rnacentral:tRNA from 1 species
AGUAAAGUCAGCUAAUUAAGCUCUUGGGCCCAUACCCCAAAUAUGUAGGUUAAACUCCUUCCUUUACUA